GCAGUUGUGGCUCAGUGGUAGAGCACUUGCCUAGCAUGUGUGAGGCAUUGAGUUCAAUCCUCAGCAACACA
rnacentral:tRNA from 1 species